CCUACGGGUGGCAGCAGUGAGGAAUAUUGGUCAAUGGCCGGAAGGCUGAACCAGCCAUGCCGCGUGAAGGUCAGUGCCCUAUGGGCGUUAAACUUCUUUUGCGCGGGAGCAAUACUGGUCACGUGUGGCCAGACGAGAGUACCGUACGAAUAAGCAUCGGCUAACUCCGUGCCAGCAGCCGCGGUAAUACGGGGGAUGCAAGCGUUAUCCGGAUUUAUUGGGUUUAAAGGGUGCGUAGGCUGUGAGGUAAGUCAGCGGUGAAAUGCCCCCGCUCAACGGGGUGAAGUGCCAUUGAUACUGCCUGGCUGGAAUGCGGAUGCCGUGGGAGGAAUGUGUGGUGUAGCGGUGAAAUGCAUAGAUAUCACACAGAACACCGAUUGCGAAGGCAUCUCACGAAGCCGCGAUUGACGCUGAUGCACGAAAGCGUGGGUAUCAAACAGGAUUAGAUACCCGAGUAGUC
rnacentral:rRNA from 1 species